UAUAUUUUAGUGUAAGAUGCACGAAAAUUUUUGAUAUCAUUAGUAAUAGUUCAAUUCUAUUAAAUAUAA
rnacentral:tRNA from 1 species